GGCCUUUCAGCAGGGGGGGUAGGCAGAGACAGGAGGGAGGCAGUGCUGAGGGGCAGCCAGAACCUGCAGCUCACCAGGGAGGCACAUCCCAGGACACGUGUGUGAGGCAGUUCCAAGCAUCGUGGAUGGGCUGACAGGCCCCUUUCAUCACAAGACUGUGAAACGUGUCCAGGUAGCAUUCCUUCCUCUCCCUAGGACUUCCCUUACAGCCUACCAGCACGGCUUCUCCAUGGGGAAGAGCCCUCACCCACUGCCUGUCACAGGGUCCUGGGGUGCAGCUACGGGGUGAGAGGAACCAAAACUGAGAGUCUGGGGCUGAUGGAAUCCACCCCCUGCUUAUUAGGCACAGACGGCAUACUCAGUGCCUCCAAGUGACGGUCACUGUCCUUUAUGUUCUGUGGCUUGCCUACUGCACACGGGGCCCUGUGAUCUCAUAUCAGUUGUCCCCACCUAUGCAACUGUCCGCACCUUGCACAUUCACAAUGCUACCUCAUUGACUUGGGGUACUUAGAGACUCCAAAUCACCCCCCUCUGCACAGUCUCCACAGGCUGGCCAGACUCCCAGGGCAGGGAGUCU
rnacentral:lncRNA from 1 species